UGGGGAAUAUUGCACAAUGGAGGGAACUCUGAUGCAGCAACGCCGCGUGCGGGAUGACGGCCUUCGGGUUGUAAACCGCUUUCAGCCAUGACGAAGCUUUUGUGACGGUAGUGGUAGAAGAAGCACCGGCUAACUACGUGCCAGCAGCCGCGGUGAUACGUAGGGUGCGAGCGUUGUCCGGAAUUAUUGGGCGUAAAGAGCUUGUAGGCGGUUUGUCGCGUCGAUAGUGUAAACACGCAGCUUAACUGUGUGCCUGCUGUCGAUACGGGCUGACUAGAGGAGGGUAGGGGAGAAUGGAAUUCCCGGUGGAGCGGUGGAAUGCGCAGAUAUCGGGAGGAACACCAGUGACGAAGGCGGUUCUCUGGACCUUUCCUGACGCUGAGAAGCGAAAGCGUGGGUAGCAAACAGG
rnacentral:rRNA from 1 species